AUGAGGCCGUUCUACACGAUGCUACUAGCCCUCGCCCUUGUGCUGCUCUGCUCAGGUAUGCCCCAUGCAUGCAUAUACACUCAUGCUUUAUUAGUUUCAACUUUCAAAUGUGGCGACGAAGGCAGUGACGGCAAAUGGCGGUGGCGCCACUGCGACUGUGACCCCCAUGGACUGCAAGGUGCUCCGACCAUUCCCGGCAUAUGCAAUCCCAAGAAGUGCAUGGAGGACUGCCAGGGCGGCAUCGGCCGUAGCUCGGUGGGCGAGUGCGUUUCCGACGGAUGCCAGUGCACGUACUGCACUAUCCCGCCUCGUGGUCGUCGGAACUGA
rnacentral:rRNA from 1 species